UUUCAGCCGUGGGGGCGUUAUAAUGUGACGGUCAAUCCCACCAUUCAUUGGUAAAAGAAUAGCCGUAUAAUUGGCGGUGGGUGGUGUUGACUAGCUGCCUUCCCUCUAGU